rnacentral:rRNA from 1 species
GACGGAAGGUGCAAGCGUUGCUCGGGAUCACUGGGCGUAAAGGGUGCGUAGGCGGCCGCGCAAGUCUGGCGUGAAAGCCCCGGGCUCAGCCCGGGAAGGGCGCUCGAAACGGCGCGGCUCGAGUGCCGGAGGGGAGAGUGGAAUUCCUGGUGUAGCGGUGAAAUGCGUAGAUAUCAGGAGGAAUACCGGUGGCGAAAGCGGCUCACUGGCUCGACACUGACGCUGAGGUGCGAAAGCGUGGGGAGCAAACAGG